UCUGCAAGAGAGAACGGAAGCACACGCCGUGAAUCACACAAAGGCCGACCUCUACCAAGAAAAGGACGCGAGGAGUGCAAAUAAAAAGAAGACUCGGAUUUCGGUCAGGACUCGGACUUCAGUUAUUGGGAAGAACCCGUGGAUUAAUUCAGGGAAGGCUCUUCAGAACCGGAGACAAUGGGGAAAUCUACCUUUGUAUGCAGUGGAACAGUUUUUAUCACUAGGUGAUUGCGUGUGUCUCCCUCCACACCUCCACCGUCUCAGGGACUCUGCUAGGCACAGUGGCAGUCCCAGGUGAAUAAAGUCUGGUCUUCAAGAGGCGGAAGAGCUCCUCCUAUACGUCAUCACUGGGACUCGGAGUCUCACCAUAAAGAAGUAGGGCUAAGCAGAACAGAACCGUUACAGAACUUUCUUCCAGUGCUUGCUUAAAAGAAAGCCACACUGCCCCUCAAGGCAGACAUGGAGCCUGGCAUCUAAGUUCCACCUGGAGUGACUGGUUUCACAUGUGUCGGUCCCUGAGGAGACAGAUGAAUAUGGCUGCCAACUAUCAAUGUUAGAGUCAGUCUGAGAUAUGCUGGUGCUUAUGGUGACUGGGAAGUUACUUGUAAGACUAACUUCCCCUCGUUUUGUAAACAUUAAGGAAAGGGCUGUCAAUCACUAGGACCCAAGACCCGUCCCAUGACCAGCAGUUGUCAGAGGCAAGGAAGGUUAUGAUGGUGACAACUGACUUAUCUGACCCGGCAUGGGCCACACAUAUUCCCUACUGUUUAGUGCUAAUGGUGUCAUUUGUAUAUUCCUACCCAAAGAAUGUGUGCUCAUUUAAACUUGAGGGUGAAUCUGAGUGGAGGCGGUUUCAAUUCAAUUUGCAAAACCCUUUCUACUUUAAUGCAUCAGAAGUGUUACCAGACAACUGGGUUUUGAAACUCAUAGCUGUUCACAAUUAUACCAUUUGUGUUUGCUUACAAUGUACUUAAAUACUUCCAGAAAAAUUUCACUUUUGCCAAAGAGCUUCUAAGAGCAUUCAGUUCUCAUAGAAAGUUGUUAUAUGAUCUAUGUUAUGUCACACUGUGAUCAUGCCAACACAUUUAAAUGUGUUUUUGAGUACACAAAUACAUGUAUACUCUAAAAUGUUUUUCAAAGUGUGGUUCAGGGAAGGUGCCUGGCUGUGAACUGUUAUUGGUCAAUGAUGAGGUAACCAGACAUACUCUAUUAUUUGGGAAUUUUUACAGCAAAUAUAAGGAGUAAUUGUAUGUCUCCAAAUCUAACUGUAAAAUAGAGCUUCUUGGGCCAGACAUCGUGCCACAGCAGGUUAAGCUGCUGCUUAGGACAUCAACCACAUCUCAUAUCCUCUGGGGUAGAGACUAGCCUCUGCUUCUAAUCCAGCUUCCUGCUAAUUACCCUGGGAGGAAGAGAUGAUGGCUCAAGUCCUUGGGCCCCUGCCAUCCAUGUGGAAGAAGUUCCGGACUCAGACUCCUGGUUUUGGGAGGGUCCAGCCCUAGCUGUUGCAGACAAUUGGGAAGUGAAUCAACGGAUAGAAGAUCUCUCUCUCUCUCUUCUCCCUUCCCCCUGUUGCUUUGCUUUUCACGUAGACAAAAAUCAACAAACAUUUAAAAGUGGAGUUUUCCAAUUAAACAUUAUUUUUAAAAAUGUGGCGUUUCUAUUGUUUCCAUCUUUGUAUUUCUACUUUUUUCAAGUAAUUAUUUUAAUGUGUUCUACAAAAGCCCAUGAAAGGUUGUGUGUGUGUGUGUGUGUGUAUGCGUGCGCACGCACAUGCGGGUGGGGGAGAUGGAGGCGGGAGCAGGGCAGGGAUUUGGCCUAGCCGUUAUGAUGCCUAGUUCCAAUACUGCAGUGCCUGGGUUCAAGCCCCAG